rnacentral:rRNA from 1 species
UGGGGAAUAUUGGACAAUGGGGGCAACCCUGAUCCAGCCAUGCCGCGUGAGUGAUGAAGGCCUUCGGGUUGUAAAGCUCUUUUGGCGGGGACGAUGAUGACGGUACCCGCAGAAUAAGCCCCGGCUAACUUCGUGCCAGCAGCCGCGGUAAGACGAAGGGGGCUAGCGUUGUUCGGAAUUACUGGGCGUAAAGCGAGUGUAGGUGGUUGUUCAAGUUGGAUGUGAAAGCCUUGAGCUCAACUCAAGAAAUGCAUUCAGGACUGAGCGACUAGAGGACCGGAGAGGAUAGUGGAAUUCCCAGUGUAGUGGUGAAAUACGUAGAGAUUGGGAAGAACACCAGUGGCGAAGGCGGCUAUCUGGACGGUUUCUGACACUAAGACUCGAAAGCGUGGGGAGCAAACAGG